rnacentral:rRNA from 1 species
GACGAAUGCUGGCGGCGUGACUAAUACAUGCAAGUAGGACGCAGUUGCGAACGGGUGAGUAACGCGUAGGUAACUACCUAGUAGAGGGGACUAAAUAUUGGAAACGAUAGCUAAUACCGCAUAAUAGUCGAUGGACCUGAGUUGUAUUAGCUAGUAGGUAGGGUAAAGGCCUACCUAGGCAACGAUACAUAGCCGACCGGAGAGGGUGAUCGGCCACACUGGGACUGAGACACGGCCCAGACUCCUACGGGAGGCAGCAGUAGGGAAUCUUCGGCAAUGGGGGGAACCCUGACCGAGCAACGCCGCGUGAGUGAAGAAGGUUUUCGGAUCGUAAAGCUCUGUUGUUAAGGAAGCGGUACUUAACCAGAAAGGGACGGCUAACUACGUGCCAGCAGCCGCGGUAAUUC